ACUCAAAUGAAUAGACGGGGGCCCGCACAAGCGGUGGAGCAUGUGGUUUAAUUCGAUGCAACGCGAAGAACCUUACCUACCCUUGACAUACAGUGAAUUAGCUAGAGAUAGCUGAGUGCCUUCGGGAACACUGAUACAGGUGCUGCAUGGCUGUCGUCAGCUCGUGUCGUGAGAUGUUGGGUUAAGUCCCGUAACGAGCGCAACCCCUAUUCUUAGUUGCCAGCGCGUAAAGGCGGGAACUCUAAGGAGACUGCCGGUGACAAACCGGAGGAAGGCGGGGACGACGUCAAGUCAUCAUGGCCCUUACGGGUAGGGCUACACACGUGCUACAAUGGCCGAUACAAAGGGAAGCGAAGGGGCGACCUGGAGCGAAUCCUAGAAAGUUGGUCGUAGUCCGGAUUGGAGUCUGCAACUCGACUCCAUGAAGUCGGAAUCGCUAGUAAUCGUGAAUCAGCAUGUCACGGUGAAUACGUUCCCGGGCCUUGUACACACCGCCCGU
rnacentral:rRNA from 1 species